CAUCUGCUCAGUCGUGCGACAACGUUGGGACUUUUAGAGCAGGGAGAAACUAAAGUUCACUUUUUUAUUUUUGCUGCUGAGUGCCAAACGACAAGGGAAGCGCAUUUCUUCAGCGGAUCCUUUAACUGCGCCAGAAAUGGGUGACUGGAGUUUCUUGGGGAACAUUUUAGAAGAGGUAAAUGAGCACUCUACUGUCAUUGGGAGAGUCUGGCUUACAGUGCUCUUCAUUUUUCGAAUCCUGAUCCUAGGAACUGCUGCAGAGUUUGUUUGGGGAGAUGAACAGUCAGACUUUGUGUGCAAUACUCAGCAGCCUGGUUGUGAGAAUGUCUGCUAUGAUGAAGCCUUCCCCAUCUCCCACAUUCGUUUAUGGGUCCUACAGAUCAUCUUUGUCUCUACUCCCUCGCUGGUUUAUUUGGGCCAUGCUGCACACCAUGUUAGGAUGGAAGAGAAAAGGAAAGAUCUGGAAGAAGCACAAAGGGCUAGGCAAGGUCAGACAGACGAAGAAAACUCUGCCCUUGGUCCAGACCAGAAGAGUCCUAUAGUCACCAAGGAAAUAAAUCCCAAGGGGAUCAAGAAAUUUCGUCUUGAGGGAACACUGUUGAGAACCUAUAUCUGCCACAUCUUUUUCAAAACGCUUUUUGAGGUGGGCUUCAUAGUGGGUCAGUACUUUCUAUAUGGCUUCCGAAUUCUACCUCUAUACCGCUGUGGCAGGUGGCCCUGCCCCAACCUUGUAGACUGUUUCGUGUCCAGGCCUACUGAGAAAACUAUCUUUAUUAUGUUUAUGUUGGCUGUGGCUUCAGUGUCCCUCUUUCUCAAUCUUGUGGAGAUCAGUCAUUUGGGCUUUAAGAAGAUCCUGAUGGCUUUCAGAAGGUCAGCAGAACAACAGCCUGCGGAGACUCCUGAGAAACCCCUUCACUCUAUUGCAGUUUCAUCAAUCCAAAAAGUCAAAGGUUACAAGCUGCUGGAGGAAGAGAAGCCAGUAUUUCACUACUUCCCAUUGACAGAUGUAGGAGUAGAAACUACACCUGUACCCCCCUCAUUCAGUAAUUAUGAAGAGAAGAUUGGCAUGGAGCAUCUGAAAGACCUUUCCGGGGUCUUUGAUGAGCAGCUGCCAUCCUAUGCUCGUAUGGAUGAACAGGAUGAGGAGAACGUAGAUGUGAGAGAAGAGCAAGAACAGGAGGCACAUGAGGUGACUGAGGAGGCACAAGAGCCAAGGGUGGAAAAGUUAACAGACGAAGCAGAGGAGAAAGAAGAAGCAAAGCUCAAAGAGAUGGAACAAGUGUUAGAACCAUCAGGAGAGGACUUACGUUUGCCAUCAGCUGAUAUCACUGUUGACACAAGACCCCUUAGCAGGUUGAGCAAAACCAGCAGUCGGGCCAGGUCAGAUGAUCUGACUGUAUGAAAUUAUUGGCUGUCAGGUGGCUCUUGAGCACCCACAAACAUACAUAUCUUAGAUGUCCUAAAUGAAGUGCUAAGCCAGUCAUUUUAUGAUUGUUCCUUAUCAAUAUUUUGGCUAGAAAGGUGCUAUAAAAGCUAGCUGCGUUGUCAGUCCUGUUUGGUCUACAAGUGGAGCUAGCUGCCAUGUUGCCUAUUCAGUGAAUCAAUUCCUCUUCUUGCCAAUGCAGAUGCCUCACUACUGUAAAGUAAAUGCACUAUAUACAGUACUGAAAUCUGAGGAGAAAACUUCCCCAAAACACAGAGGAAAACAAAUGUAGCAACUGUGGUCACAACUGCUCUAUAUUCCUCUUUUCUCCAGGGAUGUGGGAAGUAGAUCUCUUCAUUUGAUUUCUUGCAAAUAUCGAUAAACCUCUUAGUGUUGGUAUUUCUUUUUUCCUGUUUUAGCUUGUAACAUUACAGUGUUGGUGCUUUUUCCCUUGCUGGCCUUGAGUUUUGAUUUUUUUAACUCAUAAAAAAGGGAUACUGCCAACUAACAUGGUUAAAUUAUAUACAGCUAUAUCCCUGCAAAACAACAGAAAGUUUAAAUGUUUAUGUAUGUGGACAAAUAUGGUUUACCAAUAUUUUUUGUUCCCUAGUUUAGGUGGGGCACUUACCUUUUUGUCUGCAUGAUACAUCUCAAUCAUUAGAUGCAUACAACUUGAAUAAGGUCUCUGAUCACACAACAGAGAAAAACUGUGUUUUCCAGGAAGUAAUCUUUGACAGUGUGAUCAGGGGAAAAAAGUGCUAUUGUGUUAGCAACAACAACCCCCCGUCUAGGUUAUCAGCCAAGAAACUGGAUCACACAUUUGGUUUUCUCCCUGAAGGUGUCCCCAGGGAAGUAGAACACAUCAUACAGAGAACAUUCUAAACACAUGAAUGAGUUCCCAAUACAAUACUGAUUUCACUGGCAUCCUUAUCACAUUAGUUUCAUGGUGUGGUACACACUGCAUUGUGACUCUUUCCGCUACAGCAUGAGGAGCCUCAAAUGUAUGGGGACCAUAUGCUGUGACUCUUCCACCUUGCCCCACUUUCUGUGGAAUGCCCAUGUGGCCCAGGGCUCCUCACAAUACAGCAAUGGACCAGAGCUUACCUCACCACAAAGAGUUGUACUUUAUAACCAC